UUGCAAUGUCUGUCUAUUUAGGAGGGAAACUUCAAACCAACAAAAAAUGAACAAGAUCAUGCGUUUCUGCUGCAGCUUCUGUUCUGGUUCAAGCAAUCAUUCAGGUGGGUAAAUGCUCCUCCUUGCGACAGUUGCAACAAUGAGACAGUAAGUCAAGGGAUGGGAGUGGCUAAUCCAUCUGAAUCACUUUACAGAGCUUCUCGAAUUGAACUUUAUCGCUGCAAGUUAUGCUCAAAUGUAACUCGCUUCCCAAGAUACAAUGAUCCAAUGAAGGUACUAAGUUUUUGCAUCUGAGGUUUU